rnacentral:rRNA from 1 species
AUUGAACGCUGGCGGCAGGCCUAACACAUGCAAGUCGAGCGGUAGCAGCGCGUUUGCUCCUGGCUUCAGCGGCGGACGGGUGUGUAAUGCCUAGGAAUCUCUCUGGUUGGGGGGGAAAACGUCGGGAAACUGGCGCUAAUACCGCAUACGCUCAGAGGGAGAACGUGGGGGAUUCUCGGAUUUCACGCCUACAGAUGCGCCUAGGUCGGAUUAGCUAGUUGGUGGGGUAAAGGCCUACCAAGGCGACGAUCCGUAGCUGGUCUGAGAGGACGAUCAGUCACACUGGAACUGAGACACGGUCCAGACUCCUACGGGAGGCAGCAGUGGGGAAUAUUGGACAAUGGGCGCAAGCCUGAUCCAGCCAUGCCGCGUGUGUGAAGAAGGUCUUCGGAUUGUAAACCGCUUUUAGUUGGGACGAAAAGCAGUAAGUUAAUACCUGGCUGUUUUGACGGUACCAAAAGAAUAAGCACCGGCUAACUACGUG